rnacentral:rRNA from 1 species
UUGGAGGGCAAGUCUGGUGCCAGCAGCCGCGGUAAUUCCAGCUCCAAUAGCGUAUAUUAAAGUUGUUGCAGUUAAAAAGCUCGUAGUUGAACUUCGGGGUUUACCCAUUGGUCAGGCUUAAUUGUCUGUACUGGUGAGAUAAAUCUCUACCUUCUGAGGAACUUUCAUGCCAUUUAUUUGGUGUGAUUGGAAAUCAGGACUAUUACUUUGAAAAAAUUAGAGUGUUUAAAGCAGGCUAACGUCUGAAUAUAUUAGCAUGGAAUAAUGAAAUAGGACGGCUUGGUUCUAUUUCGUUGGUUUCUAGGAUCACCGUAAUGAUUAAUAGGGAUAGUUGGGGGCAUUAGUAUUCAAUUGUCAGAGGUGAAAUUCUUGGAUUUAUUGAAGACUAACUACUGCGAAAGCAUUUGCCAAGGAUGUUUUCAUUAAUCAAGAACGAAAGCUAGGGGAUCGAAGACGAUCAGAUACCGUCGUAGUCUUAACCAUAAACUAUGCCGACUAGGGAUCGGACGAAGUUAAUUUUAUAAUGACUCAUUCGGCGCCUUACGGGAAAC